CUAAAGCCUUAGCUACAAGCCCGCACCACUAUGCUUUGCAAUGUAAACAAUGUAAGUCCUUAUAAACCUUUGUAUUGUCAUUUGUUCCCCCGAUGUCGGAGUUUUUGUAAUCAAACUAUUCCUUACCCACUGGAAGUGUCAAACGGGCAGUGUCCGGUCGGUGCUGUAUUAUUGGAACCCCGAAACCAACAUUUCCCAGUAUGAAAAACCUAACUCCACCUAUCGUUAUUCCACUUAGCAAUCGCUUCAAGUUGACCCCUACCUUUCUCAGCCACAAAACUCCUUUGCCCCAGCACCAAACACUAGCGAUUCAGUGCAAUCAGUUGCCCCAAUGGAACGGAAGAUGAGGUUUGGGCUCUUUCAUCCGAUUGUUUCUCUGCUAUUCUUUGUGAACCACACCUUUCCGGUGCCAUCGAACCCAAGUCCAAUCGCCCAUGGUUCGAGGCUAAGAGAUAUGGACGUGUGUGCUGUUUUGGUGCAUUGCUUUGCUGGUGUUUCGAGACGUGCAGCUAUCAUUACAGCAUAUCUGAUGAGAACAGAACAUUUAUCACAACAAGAAGCACUAGGAUCCCCAAGGCAAAGCUGUGAGUUUGUUUGCCCCAAUGAUGGUUUUCUAGAUCAGCUCAAAUUUACGAGGAAAUGGGCUUAAAGGUUGAUCGUGCCAGCCCCAUAUAUAAGUCUUUUCGCCUGAAAGUAUUGGGUAAUUGAGGACCUUGGUGGUGCUAUUAUUUCUGAUGGAAGCACAAGCACACAUGUUGUCACGGGGAAAGUGGGAACAACUUUGAAUUUUUGUACUGCUCUUUGUUCAGGGUAUGGGUAAAACAAUUACUGAGCACGUAUACCAAAUGGGCCAAAAAGCUAGGUUAUAAAGGGAGGGUCAUUGAGAAGUGUUCUUCCACAUAUGGUGGCAUCAAGUCAGCAACUAUUGAAUCUGAGUUUGCUUAUGGCUAUCUUUCGGGAGAGACAGGUGUUCACAACAUUAUAAGUUCGCAAAGUGGAUCUGCUUUGCAUUUGUUUGACUUGCCGGAGCUAUGACUUAUGAGGAGAGCAGGAACAGUGUGCAUUGAGCUCCAUUUGAUUGUGUCCCCUGCCGCCCUCAUUGCUUCAACCUGAAUGUAAUGUUACACCUGGCUCCCAAUCUUCUACGAAGAACCUCAUCUAGAACACCUGCACCCUCACCCUCCUCUUCCAAAUUUCCUAUAUGAUAAAUAGAGGAUGGAAAUGUUAAAUUAAUCAGUUGUACAAAUUAAUCUCUAAUGUAUGUACAACGUUGAAUUGCUUGGGCUCUACAAGUGUUUGGAAGGCCAAUAAUAAUGAAAUUCACAAGUAUCUAACCAUCUUGGAUUUAUGAUAGCCUGGCUAACAUGCACGCAUGGGUAGAAGUUCUUAGUUUUCUAUUUUCUGGAGAAGGAUGUAAGGAUUUCUUUCAUAGUUUCACUGUGAGUUUGUGAUUCACCCUCAACACACCAAAUCUACUAUCUAUUAUCUAAUGUAAUGUCUGGUUCAAUGGAAUGGGUCUAACGGAAUAUACUCUGUGUUGAUUAUUAUAGUGAGGAAACAUUUGUAGUUAUUAGAAGUUUGAUCUAAAUAUCAAAAGUAUUAUAGUUUCUAUUUCACAGAAUACAAUUACAAUUUUGUGGUUGGCUUUGACUGUAAUUAAUCAAGUCUUAGCUAGACCAUGGGAUUAUAGUUGGAAGGAUAGUUGAGAUUGGGAGUCUAUUGAUAGGAUGAUCAUCA